GUCACAAGAGGCCCUGAGCUCUGUGGGCCCCAGGUGCCCCGGGAAAACUUGGGGGAGAAUGGGCAUCCCACCCCAGCACUUUCUAGGAAGAAGGGCAGCAUUUUGAAGGGCUGGAAGUAGAGGAAGGAGGUUGCGGGUAGAAGACUCCAUACUUUCUGUGACGCCUAUUCCUUAGUCAGAGGCAUGGCUUGCCUGGGCCUCUGGGUGCAGCUGCACAGAUUCAAGCAGCCUGAAGGAAAGGUGACUGACAGCUAAUGAUCUGAAAAGAACUUGUCUCAACUCAACGUCAUUCCUGGCAUUAUCGAACAAAGCAAUAAACCUCACAGAAUGGAAGCUACAGUGUCCAGGGCCAGCUCUGCUAAGGUAACCAAAGACAGAGAAGGAGGCAAAAGUGACAGAAGAAACUCAUGGGAAACCAACAGAAAUAUAAUGGCUUUGGCAGAAAUGCAAUUAUCAAUUGGGAGCUUGUGAUGAAUGUUUUCUCAGUAUCCUAUGCUGAAAACAGGUAGAUACUAAUAUCGAUCUUCAAGGGAGGGCUGUUGAGUAUUGAAUAAGACAAAAACAUGGAAGCAAUCAGCACCAUGCUGGAAUCAAGGCUAUCUGUAAUCACAGGGCUAUUUGAAAAAGAGAAGAAAAGGUGUCUUGAAAUUCAACCAACAUGUUUCAAUUAUUUGCUCCUAAGAACAACAGAAGUUUCAACAUUCUGCCAACAGAGUAACUCCUGGAAGAUUGGCACAGAAGAAGGCACAAGGAGAGCCUUUAUAUAACCAAAGAUAUUUUUGGACCAUGAAUUCAGAAAUUCUCGGAGCCACCCAUCAGUGCCUGAGCUUCAGUGAGUCCAUAUCCCAUGUCACCCACGGCAAAGGAGACUCUAAGACUUCUGAAGACUAAAGUUACAGAACCCAAAUUUGGCAACUGUCUGCAUCUGAACAACAGAAGUUUCAACAUUCUGCCAACAGAGUAACUCCUGGACGAUUGGCACAGAAGAAGGCACAAGGCAAAUACCCAUCUCUGUACACCCUGUGCUACUGUGUCAUGUGCUGCUCCAGGCAACUCCAAUGGAUUGGCCACCCUGGCCAAUGUGUUCUAGUAUGUUACGUUUAUGUUCCCCUGCUUUCUACAAUCCUGUUCAAAGAGUUGCUGACUUAACCACAGAGAGGAUUCCAGAACCUGAGACACAGAAUAAACUUGAGCAAUCAUAGUCCAUCCACUUCAUUGUCUCAUCAAAAACCAAAGGUCCAGUGAAGCUCUGGAACUCAACGCUGUAAAGGAGCGAAGGAGCUUCUAUACAGAGCCUGGAUGCCUGUCUCCUUAUCCUAC
rnacentral:lncRNA from 1 species